rnacentral:rRNA from 1 species
UGAGGAAUUUUGGACAAUGGGCGAAAGCCUGAUCCAGCAACGCCGCGUGGACGAUGAAGGUCUUCGGAUCGUAAAGUCCUGUCGAGCGGGAAGAAAGACAUGAGAGCGAACAGUUCUUGUGUCUGACUGUACCGCGAGAGGAAGCCCCGGCUAACUCCGUGCCAGCAGCCGCGGUAAUACGGAGGGGGCUAGCGUUGUUCGGAAUUAUUGGGCGUAAAGGGCGCGUAGGCGGCGAGAUAAGUUAGACGUGAAAUCCCUCGGCUUAACCGAGGAACUGCGUCUAAUACUGUCUUGCUUGAGGCCGGGAGAGGAGAGUGGAAUUCCCAGUGUAGCGGUGAAAUGCGUAGAUAUUGGGAGGAACACCGGUGGCGGAGGCGGCUCUCUGGACCGGUUCUGACGCUGAGGCGCGAAAGCUAGGGUAGCAAACAGGAUUAGAUACCCCGGUAGUCC